CCUGCCGGACCUGACUGCUAUCGGAUUGAUACUAAGCCAUGCGAGUCUUUGUAGCAAUACAAGGCAUACGGCUCAGUAACGCGUAGUCAACCUACCCUAUGGACGGGAAUAACCUCGGGAAACUGAGUAUAAUGCCCGAUAGAACAUUAUGCCUGGAAUGGUUUAUGUUCCAAAUGAUUUAUCGCCGUAGGAUGGGACUGCGGCCUAUCAGUUUGUUGGUGAGGUAAUGGCCCACCAAGACUAUUGCAGGUACGGGCUCUGAGAGGAGUGGCCCGGAGAUGGGUACUGAGACACGGACCCAGGCCCUAUGGGGCGCAGCAGGCGAGAAAACUUUGCAAUGUGCGAAAGCACGACAAGGUUAAUCCGAGUGAUUUCUGCUAAAGAAAUCUUUUGCCAGUCAUAAAACCACUGGUGAAUAAGGGGUGGGCAAGUUCUGGUGUCAGCCGCCGCGGUAAAACCAGCACCUCAAGUGGUCAGGAUGAUUAUUGGGCCUAAAGCAUCCGUAGCCUGCUUUGUAAGUUUUCGGUUAAAUCCAUGUGCUCAACGCAUGGGCUGCCGAAAAUACUGCAUAGCUAGGGAGUGGGAGAGGUAGACGGUACUCAGUAGGUAGGGGUAAAAUCCUUUGAUCUAUUGAUGACCACCUGUGGCGAAGGCGGUCUACCAGAACACGUUCGACGGUGAGGGAUGAAAGCUGGGGGAGCAAACCGGAUUAGAUACCCGGGUAGUCCCAGCUGUAAACGAUGCAGACUCGAUGAUGCAUUGGCAUAAUAGCCAGUGCAGUGUCGCAGGGAAGCCGUUAAGUCUGCCGCCUGGGAAGUACGUACGCAAGUAUGAAACUUAAAGGAAUUGGCGGGGGAGCACCACAAGGGGUGAAGCCUGCGGUUCAAU
rnacentral:rRNA from 1 species